CUGGCGCCCCGCCCACCGCGGUGUGGCGCGGUAGCGACUGAAGGUAGUGCGCGUCUGGAGCGUUUUGCACGCCGACCGACUUUUUGAUGCUGGUUUUGUUUUUUGUUUUGUUGACGGAUGUGAGUUCUUUUGAGACCAUGUCUCGCACCGAAGCCCAGGCUAACUUGGAAUUGGUGGCGAUCCUCCUGCCUCAACCUCCCACAAGUGCUGGGCUUAGGCUGAGCCGCAACACCCGCCCUAAGAUAUCUUGAAUGCAAGUGAUGGAGAUUUUGUUGGGUUUUUUGUUUUUGUUUUCCAGAACCCCAGGUGCCCUCUCUGCGCGGAGACGCCUUUGGGCUUGGGGCUGCAGUGCAAACGGCAAACAUUCCCGCGCUGCAGCCAGAGUCAGGGUAACUGAGGCUCCGGAAGCUUGCGGGCGCUUUACCGGGGGUGGCCUCCCCUCUGUCAUUCCAGGAGGUGGGAAGGAGCCGCCGUGUCCGCUUUGCCCACGACACAAGGACUGUCCCUCCUCGUUGUUAGCAACGCUGCCUUCAUCUUCCGGACGAGAAAAGAGCUGUAAGAAUGACGUCGGUUUGCUCGUCCCCGCGCGAUGCUCGCCAGGGAACACGCGAGCGAGCAUAGACUUCGGGGAGCGGAGGAACCUGCAGGACUUAGCAAAAAGCGCUCCGGGACCACAGCGAGGCCAGCUAGGUGGCGUCCUAAGAGCCUGGACGGCCGCUGCGGUCUACAGUGUGUUCGAGGCGGCGUGUCCCCCUACAAAAGCCACCCACAAGCUCUGGGAUGGGGCUGGGAGUGGUCGGGUUUAGAAAUGCAUAGUAUAUCCUAGUACUUUGAAGCCUCAAAGUACCCACCUAAGAUAGACUAAAUCGGCGGCUGUCCCUUGAAACGG